rnacentral:lncRNA from 1 species
CUGAAAAAUGCAGGCCUUAAAGAAAGAUCUGUCCCAGCACAGCCAACAUCACCAGAAUCCGAGGAGACCAUUCAGCCUGCUGAGCAGUUUGUCGAGUCAGAGCACAAGAAUGCUGAAGUAGAAUUGGAAGAGGAAAUUCAGUCUGUUCUUCAUGAAGCUCUCCAUUCCCAGUCUGGAGGGAGACAUGAAGAUGUAGAUGAAAGCAUAAAUGACCAGUGGCAAGUGAAGGAAGAAAUACAUGAAGAAGCUUUUGGAACUCCUACAGCAGAUGACUUACAUGGAGAAUCAGAGAAUGAAAUGCCAGAAGCAUAUGAGUUGCCAGAUUCAAUUCAGAAAGAAACUGAUGUUUUAGCAGAUGAUCUUGGAGCAAUGGAGCCUGAAACGUAUGAAGUUCCAGGUAUAGUUCUGUUUUUUCCAAACUCUGUAAUACUGGUUUUAUGCCUUAAUAUAGCAAAUGAUAGGAGAAGGCAAAAAAGAAACUGUUCAGCUGGUUUAGUAAUACAUAAUCUUGAAAACAUUUUUCCCCCCAAAACUGUUCUUGAUUGUCUUGGAUAUUUUUACUCUGACUGA